ensembl:lncRNA
CUUCUUCAGCAAGGGCACAGACCACGAUCUCUGCUAGCAUAAGUGUUGGGAGGACCAACGAAUGAGCAAGGGGAUGAACGUAAGAAAUGAGCCUGGAACACAAAGAAAGCACAAAGGAGCCCAAAGUUUCUGGGAGGUAAGGCCGAUGGGCUGGGGCAUGUCUGCCAGACAUUGGUUUGAAGGAGAACAGACUUGUAAAGUGUAAACGCAGGGAUUUCCCUGCCUUCCAGUGGUUAAGACUCCACCCUUCCAAUGCAGUGGGCACAGGUUUGAUCCCUGGUCAGGGAACUAAGAUCCCUCAUGCCACACGGCACGGCCAAAAAAAUUUAAAAAUAAAGUUUUUUUUUAAAAGUGUAAACACAAAACGGAGUCUGACAUAAUGACAAGUGACAGUAACAUUAGAUGACACAACACAUCCUAUAUACCAGAUAUUGCAAGUGUCUUACCUGGCACCACUGGCUUAGUCUCUGUAGCACCCUCCAGAGGUGGAAACUCACUGGAGGACCUGUCAGCUCUUUGGGGCACCAAGGAAGAGAUUCCUGUACCUGAAAGAUUUAGGAGGACUGGAAGCAGAUCCAGUCAAUACAGAGCAACCCAUGUGUAUCUUUAAAGUCUGUCCAACCUGCCUGCCUAGUUUUGCCUCCACUGUAGCUUCUGCCUCCACCGGCCAUCGCUGAGAGAGGGUCCCUGCUCCCCUGCUGACUCACGGAGCAGAGAUCCCUCAGAAAGGAAUGAGUUCUGGUCUCCAGGCAGCCAAAGCCAGCCUCCCUGCCUCCACUCUACUGCUCCUUCCUUCUCUCAGAAACGCCAGGCCUUCCACAGAUGCAUCUGAGACUCACUGAUGCUUCCUCCGGGAACACCCCUUCAACACCCCUUCAUCAAGGCCCUGACUUUUCUGGGUGACCUCUGGGCCCUGAUGGAAGCACCCUCCCACCUCCUGGGACCUUUAGGGACCCAGUCCUGGUACCAGAGAGACAGCCCUGUGUACGUGUGUGCUCAGUCGCUUCAGUCGUGUCCGACCCUUGGUGACCUCAUGGACUGUAGCCUGCCAGGCUCCUCUGUCCAUGGGAUUCUCCAGGCAAGGAUACUGGAGUGGGUCGCCAUGCCCUCCUCCAGAAAGCAGCCCUGAGACGGCAUAAUUUGAAAUCUCAUCAUUUCAGCAUCCUAGAACCCACCACCACCCACCCCCAGCCAAAGGCUAGGAUGCCUGUCACCCACCCGUUGACAUUCCAUUAAAAAUUGGGACUAACAACAGGUUCUGGAACACUGCGUCAUAACUCAGCAGGUGUGGGAUCAACCUGGACAAAAGGACAGAACGCUCAGCCACUGCCAGGUGGUUAAGCAAGGGCUUUGCAGAGCUGUUUGGCUGACAGCACACAGACCGAUCUGUGCUCAUGUAAUGGGGCAAAGAUGAAGCAGGUGCCCUAGUGUCCUCCUGACACGGCAAGUUGCCAGCCUCUGCUAAAUACACACACCCACACACACAAACACACACUCAUGACCUCCAGUGUCCCUGAAAAGAUGGCACAUCUCACCAUCAGUGCAGGCUCCCCGCAGCCAGACACGCAUGCAUGCACGCUACAUUGUUUUAGUCGCGUCCGAGUCUUUGCGAUCCUGUGGACCGUAACCUGCCAGGCUCCUCUGUCUGUGGGAUUCUCCAGGCAAGAAUACUGGAGUGGGUUGCUGUGCCCUCUGCCGGGGGAUCUUCCCGACCCAGGGAUUGAACCCGCAUGUCAUGUCUCCUGAAUUAGCAGGCAGGCUCUUUACCACUCGCUCCACCUAGGAAGCCCCACAGCCAGAGAUGCCUGGCUCCAAUUCCAGCAAGCGGUACUCACUCCUGAGCCUCAAGCUCCUCUUCUGUAAAGUGAAGCUAGUAAUACCUCCUUGAGGGGCUGAGCCCAUGCAUAUAAAACUUCAGACUCAGAGUAAGCACUUCAUAACUUGAAUCCAGAACAAUCCCAGAUUGUCAGCAGCAGCAGUUUUCACAUUGGCUUGGUGCUAAAGACAAUAAUAUAGCCACUGCGGACAAAGCAGUUUUUAUGAACCAGGUGUGUUCCAUGCAUUAUCUCAUCUCGACUCACACUAGGCCUGCGAGUUGGGUAGAUAUUGGGAUCCUCAUUUUACAAAUAAGGAUUCUGAGGCUUAGAGAAGUUAAGACGCUUGCCCAGAGUCACACAGUCAGCGGUAAAGAGAUAGCUAACACCGAGGUAAUCCGCGCUUCAGUGCCAGCCCUGAAGCAUGCUCCCUUCACAGGGCUGUGCCGCCUCUUGAUGCAGUUAGCACAAGCCGAGCUCUGCUCUCUUUAAAAGACAAUACAGAGUGCCAAGUGAUUACGCAGAGGGCUGCAGCCUUGCACGUGUGUGUGUGUGCAUGUGUGCGUGCACGUGCCCUUGGCCAAGGGCCACACUUUUAGCCCGCAUACUGGUCUGCCAAAAGCCCAUGUUCAAAUCCCACCUAUUGAAAAGCUCAUCUCCGCUUUGGCAGGACAGGCCCUGAAAAAAUGUCGGAAAUAAACAAGGGCCAUUCAAAAGAACUGAACUGCAUUCAAAUGGGAAAUUCCUUCACAGGAAUAAAACUUCAGAAACCAAACAACCAAAGCCCUCAGAAAACAUCGGUAAUGAUCCAUUAAUUUUAAGUCAUUAGAAACGGAGAGCAAGAAGUAAAUCCAGUUUCUGCAUGGGUAUCCUCACCCCUUCUCUGAGGGAAGUGCUCACAAGCCUGAAAGGGUUGGCUUGAAUAGAGAGGUCACCUCCUGGGGAGCCAGUGGGUGAAAUACACUGGAAAUGUGCCUGAGGGACAAGCAUUUUUUAACACACAGGCUCACAAUGAUGAAAAGCACCCUUCUGGGGACUUCCCUCCUGGUCCAGUGGUUGAGACGCUGAGCUUCCAGUACAGGGGGCACAGGUUCGAUCCCUGGUGGGGGAACUAAGAUCCCACAUGCCUUGAGUUGAGCCAAAAUACUUUUUAAAAUAAAUAAAUUUUAUUUUUUUAAAAGCACUCUUCUGCUCUUUAUCCCUCCACACCCGCUUCAGUUUCUCAAAUAUGGAGACUCCUUUUGAGCUUUUCCUUCUUGGCAAUGCCACACUUGUUAGGAAACCAGUAUCCUGGAAACCGAAGUGGCCUUGGAUGUUGUUCUCUGCUGUGGCAGACCAAACUUUCCUUGCUGAAUCAGACCCCAUAAUAUAUCAACUCUGAGUCACACAUCAGCAGAGGAGCCACUAUUAGGAAGAGAGAGAGUGCCGUGAUAUUUAUCAGUGACUAAAUCGGAGCAAAUAACGAGUGUUGCCUAAUCACAGGGCAUGUUCACAUACAUGACCUUCCUACGAAGUAAGGUCAUAGCUUUGCAGCUCUCAGGAUGGUUUCUAACUGUCAAUAUUUAUAGAACCAGGCACUUACCAACACACGCCAGGAGAGCUGGAUGUCUCCAAGGAUGAGUCAUGCCAAAUGAAGUCUUCUAUCUCGGGGUCACUGCUCCAUCCUCACUGACUAGUCAUGGGAUUAUUGAAAAGCACAUGCAGGAUUGCGGGCCCUGUUCAGUUCUCUGGAAGAACCGACAUUUAUGAAAUUGAAGCCUAGGAGGAGAGGAUGUGGGUUUAAAAGUAUAUUCUGUGCUCAG